AUGCUCUAGUUUCUCUUCAGAUCGUAUAAAUCUUUCGCCUUUUACUAAAGAUUUCCGUGGGGAGGAACAAUUACGAGUUAUCAACCAAUUUUUUUAAAGUCUCACCCUGUGAGGCUU